ACGGGAGGCAGCAGUGGGGAAUUUUGGACAAUGGGGGCAACCCUGAUCCAGCAAUGCCGCGUGUGUGAAGAAGGCCUUCGGGUUGUAAAGCACUUUUGUCCGGAAAGAAAACCUCGGGGCCAAUACCUCUGGGGGAUGACGGUACCGGAAGAAUAAGCACCGGCUAACUACGUGCCAGCAGCCGCGGUAAUACGUAGGGUGCAAGCGUUAAUCGGAAUUACUGGGCGUAAAGCGUGCGCAGGCGGUUCGCUAAGACCGAUGUGAAAUCCCCGGGCUUAACCUGGGAACUGCAUUGGUGACUGGCGGGCUAGAGUAUGGCAGAGGGGGGUAGAAUUCCACGUGUAGCAGUGAAAUGCGUAGAGAUGUGGAGGAAUACCGAUGGCGAAGGCAGCCCCCUGGGCCAAUACUGACGCUCAUGCACGAAAGCGUGGGGAGCAAACAGGAUUAGAUACCCUGGUAGUCCACGCCCUAAACGAUGUCAACUGGUUGUCGGGUCUUCAUUGACUUGGUAACGUAGCUAACGCGUGAAGUUGACCGCCUGGGGAGUACGGUCGCAAGAUUAAAACUCAAAGGAAUUGACGGGGACCCGCACAAGCGGUGGAUGAUGUGGAUUAAUUCGAUGCAACGCGAAAAACCUUACCUACCCUUGACAUGUAUGGAACCUGGCCGAGAGGUCGGGGUGCCCGAAAGGGAGCCAUAACACAGGUGCUGCA
rnacentral:rRNA from 1 species